rfam:Papilio xuthus contig17392, whole genome shotgun sequence.
AUAAUCUGUUAAUGAAGAGAGCUAUCCGUCGACAGUAUUGAUAGUAAACACUGUCAUGGAGUUGCUCUCUUUAUGAACGGAUGC